rfam:Rhizoclosmatium globosum strain JEL800 BCR33scaffold_213, whole genome shotgun sequence.
AAGUAAUUUUGUUUAAUGUCCUAAUUGUAGUUCAAUAUUUUAAGGUAUGGUCCAUUUUAAAUUGGGUGAAUUGCAAGAACUUCCCACCAAGUUUCAACUUUAAAUUUGAAAUGUUGAGGACAACUUGCAGCGAAGUUUACAUCGGUCUAUUUAUGAUGUAAGAACGUUCAACGACUAGGUAAUGAGUAAGACCCACAAUAAUUUACCCACGAGAGCCCAACAAUGGAUAUUCCUUAUUCAUUGAUGACAUAGUCUGAACACUCUAGUAAUAGAUUG